rnacentral:tRNA from 1 species
GGAGAGAUGGCUGAGCGGUCUAAGGCAGCGGUCUUGAAAACCGCCGUAGGUUCCACCUACCGUGGGUUCGAAUCCCACUCUCUCCGCCA